rnacentral:rRNA from 1 species
AGAAUCAACGCUGGCGGCGUGCCUAACACAUGCAAGUCGAACGAGAAAGUGGAGCAGUCCAUGAGUAAAGUGGCGCACGGGUGAGUAACACGUGACUAACCUACCCUGGAGUGGGGGAUAACUGAGGGAAACCUUAGCUAAUACCGCAUAAUACCUACGGGUCAAAGGAGCAAUUCGCUUCAGGAGGGGGUCGCGGCCGAUUAGUUAGUUGGCAGGGUAAUGGCCUACCAAGACGAUGAUCGGUAUCCGGCCUGAGAGGGCGCACGGACACACUGGAACUGAAACACGGUCCAGACUCCUACGGGAGGCAGCAGUGGGGAAUUUUGCGCAAUGGGGGAAACCCUGACGCAGCAACGCCGCGUGGAGGAUGAAGUCCUUCGGGACGUAAACUCCUUUCGAUCGGGACGAUUAUGACGGUACCGGAGAAGAAGCCCCGGCUAACUUCGCGCCGAGCAGCCGC